rnacentral:lncRNA from 1 species
AAGGAGAUUCAUUACUGUUUACAUUACAUUGUUUUGUUUUUGUUUUUUUAUCAGGGUGCUGAGGGACUUCCUGGACUUGCUGGCCCUCCUGGUCCUGAUGGUCUUCCUGGUUUGCCAGGCACACUUCAAGAUCUCAAUGGUGAUCUACUUUGCCCUGCCAUCUGUCCCCCGGGUCCUCCUGGUCCACUUGGAAUGCCAGGAUUCAAGGGGCACACUGGACACAAAGGUGAUAAAGGAGAAGUCGGGAAGAAUGGAGAGCAGGUGUGUUAAGAAUGUCAUAUGUAAUAAUAAUUGUGUAAAUUGUGUAUAAAUCAUAAGUGUUGUAUAGAGUUUGUUGUGAUAUCUGUAACCGUUGUAGGGUGAUGCUGGACCUCCUGGUCAACCUGGUCUGCCAGGCACCGUGGGUCUGCAGGUGAGCACAGCACAGUACUCUACCGUUAUUGUAUCAUGUAUCUCUGUUUCUUCAUUAAAAAUACUCCUUGUACAAUGACUCGGUUUAGGGCCCACGAGGUCUGAGAGGGCUGCAGGGGCCCAUAGGACCAGUAGGAGACAGAGUAAGUACAUUUUAAUAUUCUGCUCAUUGAGACAAGACACAAGUUUGACAUUGUCCUUCCUGUAGGGCCUACCUGGCUUUAGAGGAAAACCUGGUGCUGCUGGCCUCAUUGGAAAGACAGUGAGUUCAUCUCUGUUAUAACUCACAUGUUUUGCUAUUGAGCAUUAGCUCUUUUAGCCAACAGACCGUUGGUCCCAUCAAUGAAUAGCUGUAUAUGUUUCAUCUGAUGCUUCCAGGGUGACGCUGGAGAGAAAGGACCGCAAGGGUUCAGAGGACCAAAAGGGGAGAUAGUGAGUAAUCAGCUUUUACGGGAAUCUUCUUAAGCUUUUUCACUAGUGUACAGUACUGCACUCU